rnacentral:tRNA from 1 species
GCUCAUAGCUCAGUGGUAAGACUGAUUGUUUGACAUAACGGAGGGUUGCCGGUUCAAACCCCGCCCUGGGCA